rnacentral:lncRNA from 1 species
UAUUCAUUAUCAGGAGUACAGUGUGGGGAAAAACCCGCCCCUAUGAUUCAAUUACCUGCUACUCCCCCUCAUGACAUGUGGGGAUUAUGGGAGCUACAAUUCAAGAUGUACAAUCAUUGAACAAACGAACCUUUGAUAGCGGCUGCACCAUCAGCAUGUCCUGAUCCAACAUCGAGGUCGUAAACCCUAUUGUCAAUAUGGACUCUAGAAUAGGGUUGUGCUGUUAUCCCUAGGGUAACUUGUUCCGUUGGUCAAAUUAUUGGGGACACAGUCAAACCAUUUCAGUAGGGUUUGAUGCUCCAAAAUAUUUUGAAUUGUCCCAUAUUUCUGAAACUUCUGAGGCUGAAGAAGUGGCUCAUCCUUCCCAGUUAACAUUACUUUCUUGCCUUGAAGACAACCCCAAAGCCUCUAUCCUUCCAGACAAUGUUUCCCUCAGGAUCUGCUCUGCCAUCCAUCCACUUUUUGUGAAGUUGCUGAGUAACCCCACUAGGUACAUGUUGGGUGCAAUAAGGGA